GGGAUGUGUUGGGGCUAUUUAUUACAUUAAGGAAUUACAUUAUCACUUCAUUUUGUCUCCAUCAAAUCUGAUCCUCUUCUUUUUGUCUCUUAUACAUAUGUUGUAGAAACAACCUGCAUUAUAAAUGUAUCAACUACUAAUACAAAACACCUGUAGGGUAUUUAGUUCUCUUUUAGUCAGAUAAAUAGACUGUAGGAAAAUAUGAGAUUUAAGUAAGCAGAACAUCUGAAGAGUCCUUCAGGAGUUUGGGGUAAAAGAAAAUAUGACAUACUGUAUUUGAAACGAGAAUGUAAGGUAGCAAGCAAUGCAUCAAAUGAACGACGCCGAUGUUUCUGAUACAAUACUGCUCUUCCCACAACAGACUCCUGCCUUGGCCUGUAUUCCAUAGAUGUUUGCCUUCUUUCUCAAUUCAUGUAAUAAUUUCUGUUAUUUUUUUUCAGAUGAGUUUGCAAUUGCUGAAUACAGUGCUCCUUGCAGCAAAGAUCUUGGAAAUGCUUGAAGACCACAAGACUGAAGAGCGCUUUGCUGGAGUCCUGUCCUCAGAGCUCCACAGAAGAAACAUGUUUUUGUAUCUCCAAAGGCUUGAUGAAUGAACAUUUUUGUCUGGUCAAUGUCUUUCCAUGUUUCCUGUUCAUUCAAUAAAUAUUUCUUUACAUUUCCA